rnacentral:miRNA from 4 species
UAGCACCAUUCGAAUUCAGUGC